rnacentral:lncRNA from 1 species
GCACCUUUCUGACCACAGAUACCUCUGACAUCACCAGUUCUGCUGGCUCAUCUGCCCAAGAAGCAGCUCCAGCCAUUCUCAUCAUUUACCAAUUGUGACUGCUUUUGUGCUGGGACAGCAGGUUACAGCAGGGACCUGGGUUUGCCUUCACAGAUGCUCACUCUCUUUCCUUUAACUUCACCGUCGAUCCUCAGCCCAGACCUGGACAGCCGUGGCGUGAGGUUCAAGGUCAGGUGGACAGAGAGGUUUUUCUCUCCUAUGAUUGUGGUCAUGCUAAGAUCAUAUCCACAAGUCCAUUGGGGGAAGAAGUGAAACCAUAUAGGCCUGGGAAACACAGAUCGAAAUACUCAGAGACAUCAGGGACCAACUGCGUGACUUUACACUGGAGAAAAACAGUCAUGGACUCUCUCAUCCUGCAGGCCAGGAUGGCAUAUCACUGUGAGGAUGACACACACAUCAGUGGAUCCUGGCAGUAUGUCUUGAAUAGACUAAUGAGCCUCCACUUUGAUUUGGAGAAUGGACACUGGAGAGUGGAUCACCCUGGAGGCAGAUGGAUGAAAA